rnacentral:rRNA from 1 species
UGGCUGGAAUGCUUUGCCUUUGAAAUGUUUCUUGUAUUCGCCUAAGGAUAGAUCUGCGGCUGAUUAGGUCGUUGGUGGGGUAAUGGCCCACCAAGCCUAUGGUCGGUACGGGUUGUGAGAGCAAGAGCCCGGAGAUGGAACCUGAGACAAGGUUCCAGACCCUACGGGGUGCAGCAGGCGCGAAACCUCCGCAAUGUACGAAAGUGCGACGGGGGGAUCCCA